rnacentral:lncRNA from 1 species
CUCAUUUCUUCGGACCCUUCAAUAUUUCUUCGAAAAUGUCAAAUCAAAUCCAACGGCCGAACAGAUCCAUGCCACCGUCAACAACUUCGCCGACGACAUCUACAGCAUCGCCGGGGAAGUAUCGCCAGAAGAGGGGAGGGGAAUCUUUGAUUUUUCGUUUCUUCGAACCCCAAAUCAAAUUAAAAAAUUAAAUCCAAAUUGUAGAAUCGAACGGAAAUUUCUUCGGAUCCGAAUCAAAUUGCAAAAUCAAAAGAGGAUUGCCUCGAACACGAAAUAGAAUUAAAAAGAAAAUCAAGUUCACAUACGAAUCCAAAUCCGAGUCACGUUCGCCUACAAACCUAUAUCAAAUCAAACCCAAACCUAACCCAAACCAAGUCCACAUAAGAACCCAAACCAAAUCUACAAAUAAACCCAAACCAAUCCAAACCAAGUCCACAAAAUAAACCCACAAAUAAACCCAAACCCAAAACCCAAAUAAACCUAAACCCAAAACCCAAAUAAACCCAAACUUGAACCCAAAUAAAUCCAAACCUAAACCAAGUCCACACAUAAAACCAAAACCCAAACCCAAAUCAAAUUCAAACCCAACCUGAACCAAAACCAAAUCUCAUGGACCAAAUUCCAUGAACCAAAGCCAAACCUCAUAGACCAAAUCCCAUGAACCAAAACCAAACCUCAUGGACCAAAUCCCAUGAACCAUAACCAAAUCUCAUGGACCAAAUCCCAUGAACCAAAACCAAAUUCAUGGACCAAAUCCUAUGAACCAUAACCAAACCUCAUGGACCAAAUCCCAUGAGCCACAACUAAACCUCAUGGACCAUAUCCCAUGAACCAAAAUCAAACCUCAUGGACCAAAUCUCAUGAACCAAAACCAAAUCUCAUGGACCAAAUCCCAUGAACCAAAACUAAACCUCAUGGACCAAAUCCCAUGAGCCACAACCAAACCUCAUGGACCAAAUCCCAUGAACCACAACUAAACCUCAUGGACCAAAUCUCAUGAACCAAAACCAAGUUCAUGGACCAAAUCUCAUGAAUCAAAACCAAACCUCAUAGACCAAAUCCCAUGAGUCAAAACCAAAUCUCAUGGACCAAAUCCUAUGAGCCAAAACCAAGUUCAUGGACCAAAUCCUAUGAGCCAAAACCAAGUUCAUGGACCAAAUCCUAUGAGCCAAAACCAAGUUCAUGGACCAAAUCCCACGAACCAAAACCAAAUCUCAUGGACCAAAUCCAAUGAACCAUAAUCAAAUCUCAUGGACCAAAUCCUAUGAACCAAAACCAAAUCUCAUGGACCAAAUCCCAUGAACCAAAACCAAAUCUCAUGGACCAAAUCCAAUGAACCAUAAUCAAAUCUCAUGGACCAAAUCCUAUGAACCAAAACCAAAUCUCAUGGACCAAAUCCCAUGAACCAAAACUAAACCUCAUGGACCAAAUCCCAUGAGCCACAACCAAACCUCAUGGACCAAAUCCCAUGAACCAUAAUCAAACCUCAUGGACCAAAUCCCAUGAACCAUAAACCAAAUCUCAUGGACCAAAUCCCAUGAACCAACCAAAUCUCAUAGACCAAAUUCCAUGAACCAACCCAAACCUCAUAGACCAUAUCCCAUGAACCAAAACCCAAACCUCAUGGACCAAAUCCCAUGAACCAUACAUCCAAUCUAAUACCCAUAUCCUAUGAACCAAUACCCAAAUCUCAUAAACCAAUACCCAAAUCCCAUGAACCAAUACCCAGAUCUCAUACCCAUAUCUCAUGAACCAAUUAGACUCUAAUACAUAGAGUUUAAUAUCGAUCAGGUCUUAACACAUAUACUUAGGGCCUAAUCAACCUCA